rfam:Leersia perrieri chromosome 9, whole genome shotgun sequence.
CCGAGCUUUGCUCGCCGGUGCUGCGUGCCGCCAUGGCUGGCGCGCAGCCCUGUCGAGCGUAGCUCGAUG